rfam:Nakamurella multipartita DSM 44233, complete genome.
GCCGGUCCUCGGUAGUGGCCACCGGAACACGACCCCGCCCCGCGGGCGGGCCGUGGGUCCGGCGGCUUCGAUCGAAGGCCGGC